GGGACUAUCAUCUUAGCAACAUCAGCCAAACUCCGAAUGCCGGUUAAGUGUUCUAUAGCAGUGAGACUGUGGGGGAUAAGCUUCAUAGUCGAGAGGGAAACAGCCCAGAUCGCCGGUUAAGGCCCCUAAGGGUGUACUAAGUGGAAAAGGAUGUGGGAUCGCGAAGACAGCCAGGAGGUUGGCUUAGAAGCAGCCAUCCUUUAAAGAAAGCGUAACAGCUCACUGGUCUAAAUAAGGGGUCCUGCGCCGAAAAUGUAACGGGGCUCAAGCCACGAGCCGAAGCUUCGGGUGUAUCGCAAGAUACGCGGUAGCGGAGCGUUCCCUAGGCCGUUGAAGGGAUACUCGUGAGAGAUCCUGGAGGUAUGGGAAGUGCGAAUGCUGACAUGAGU
rnacentral:rRNA from 1 species